rnacentral:rRNA from 1 species
UACGGAGGGGGCUAGCGUUGUCCGAAGUUACUGGGCGUAAAGCGCGCGUAGGCGGGUUGGUAAGUCCGCUGUGAAAGCCCGGAGCUUAACUCCGGAGGGUCGGUGGAUACUGCCAGUCUUGAAGGUGCUAGGGGGAGAUGGAAUUACCGGUGUAGCGGUGAAAUGCGUAGAUAUCGGUAGGAACACCAGUGGCGAAGGCGGUCUCCUGGGGCAUUCUUGACGCUGAGGCACGAAAAGCUAGGGGGAGCAAACAGG